CCCCUAGAUGUUCUGGGCCGCACGCGCGCUACACUGAACAGUUCAACAAGUCUUAACCUUGGCCGAUAGGUCUGGGUAAUCUUUGAACGCUGUUCGUGAUUGGGAUAGACCUUUGCAAUUAUGGGUCUUCAACGAGGAAUUCCUAGUAAACGCAAGUCAUCAGCUUGCAUUGAUUACGUCCCUGCCCUUUGUACACACCGCCCGUCGCACUACCGAUUGAAUGGUCCGGUGAAAUCUCGGGACGGCGGCUUGGUCGCUUGCGUCCGACUGCUGAAACUUGAUUAAACCAUAUCAUUUAGAGGAAGGUGAAGUCGUAACA
rnacentral:rRNA from 1 species